CCGCACAAGCGGUGGAGCAUGUGGUUAAUUCGAAGCAACGCGAGAAUCUUACCAGGUCUUGACAUCCCUUGACAACCCAAGAGAUUGGGCGUCCCCUUCGGGGGACAGGGUGACAGGUGGUGCAUGGUUGUCGUCAGCUCGUGCCGUGAGGUGUUGGGUUAAGUCCCGCAACGAGCGCAACCCUCGUGCUAUGUUGAUUUCUCAUAGCAGACUGCCUUGUACAGCAAGGAGGAAGGUGGGGAUGACGUCAAGUCAGCAUGGCCUUUAUGCCCUGGGCUACACACACGCUACAAUGGGUGGGAACAGAGGGUUGCCACGAAGCAAUUCGGAGCGAAUCCCUUAAAACCAUCCUCAGUUCGGAUUGCAGGCUGCAAUCGCCUGCAUGAAGCCGGAGCUGCUAGUAACCGCAGGUCAGCUAUACUGCGGUGAAUACGUUCUCGGGCCUU
rnacentral:rRNA from 1 species